GAAUGAGAUUGGAACAACUUUAAUUUUGUGAGCUUCAAAAGGUAGCCUGGGCUCUGAGGUGCUUGACUAAAUAACCAAGAUGAAUGUGAAUAACCUUGCUCAACUGCCCUCGUGGGAAUUAUGAGUUACUUCUGCAUGUCUGCAAGCCCUCAGUUCCUCUAUAGUGGUAGGAUCCAAGAUGGGGUAUGGUCACUACUCUCCUGGCCUGUGCUCUGAUCCAUGAGUGACUAUAAGCCCUCUUCCCUGCCCUGGAACCAUGACUUUGGCCUUUGUACCCCACUUAUAAAACAUAAAUAAUAAUAGUACCUACC